rnacentral:rRNA from 1 species
GACGAACGCUGGCGGCGUGCUUAACACAUGCAAGUCGAACGGAAAGGCCCUGCUUUUGUGGGGUGCUCGAGUGGCGAACGGGUGAUUAACACGUGAGUAACCUGCCCUUGACUUUGGGAUAACUUCAGGAAACUGGGGCUAAUACCGGAUAGGAGCUCCUGCUGCAUGGUGGGGGUUGGAAAGUUUCGGCGGUUGGGGAUGGACUCGCGGCUUAUCAGCUUGUUGGUGGGGUAGUGGCUUACCAAGGCUUUGACGGGUAGCCGGCCUGAGAGGGUGACCGGCCACAUUGGGACUGAGAUACGGCCCAGACUCAUACGGGAGGCAGCAGUGGGGAAUAGUGCACAAUGGGCGGAAGCCUGAUGCAGCAACGCCGCGUGCGGGAUGACGGCCUUCGGGUUGUAAACCGCUUUCGCCUGUGACGAAGCGUGAGUGACGGUAAUGGGUAAAGAAGCACCGGCUAACUACGUG